rnacentral:rRNA from 1 species
GUUUGAUCCUGGCUCAGGAUGAACGCUGGCGGCGUGCCUAAUACAUGCAAGUCGAACGCUUCACUUCGGUGAAGAGUGGCGAACGGGUGAGUAAUACAUAAGUAACCUGGCAUCUACAGGGGGAUAACUGAUGGAAACGUCAGCUAAGACCGCAUAGGUGUAGAGAUCGCAUGAACUCUAUAUGAAAAGUGCUACGGGACUGGUAGAUGAUGGACUUAUGGCGCAUUAGCUUGUUGGUAGGGUAACGGCCUACCAAGGCGACGAUGCGUAGCCGACCUGAGAGGGUGACCGGCCACACUGGGACUGAGACACGGCCCAGACUCCUACGGGAGGCAGCAGUAGGGAAUUUUCGGCAAUGGGGGAAACCCUGACCGAGCAACGCCGCGUGAAGGAAGAAGUAAUUCGUUAUGUAAACUUCUGUCAUAGAGGAAGAACGGUGGAUAUAGGGAAUGAUAUCCAAGUGACGGUACUCUAUAAGAAAGCCACGGCUAACUACGUGCCAGCAGCCGCGGUAAUACGUAGGUGGCGAGCGUUAUCCGGAAUUAUUGGGCGUAAAGAGGGAGCAGGCGGUACUAAGGGUCUGUGGUGAAAGAUCGAAGCUUAACUUCGGUAAGCCAUGGAAACCGUAGAGCUAGAGUGUGUGAGAGGAUCGUGGAAUUCCAUGUGUAGCGGUGAAAUGCGUAGAUAUAUGGAGGAACACCAGUGGCGAAGGCGACGAUCUGGCGCAUAACUGACGCUCAGUCCCGAAAGCGUGGGGAGCAAAUAGGAUUAGAUACCCUAGUAGUCCACGCCGUAAACGAUGAGUACUAAGUGUUGGGGGUCAAACCUCAGUGCUGUAGUUAACGCAAUAAGUACUCCGCCUGAGUAGUACGUUCGCAAGAAUGAAACUCAAAGGAAUUGACGGGGG